ACACCCAAAGAACUGUGCAUGAUAUGCCAUGCUUUGGUUUUGAUUUGACCUAAACAGCCAGUUAGGUGAAUUCAUAAUUUGAUUUUUGGUUUGGAUUAUUAUGUGAGUAUAUUUACC